UCUCCCAAGGGAAGCUGUGUUACCAUGGCAACCUACCAAAUGCUGCUUCCAGCUAGUUUCCAUGUUAGGCUUUUCCUUGCUAAUAUAUAACUCCCUUUUCCCUUAACAAACAAAUAAAUAAAAUCAUAUCAAUAAUCUCUGUUUAACACAAAACUUCUCUACAGCCCCUCUUCCUUUUUUCCUUAUUUAUUUAUUUAUUACAUCACUUCUACCCCGCCCUUCUCACCCAUCAGUGGACUCAGGGCAGCUUCCAUUUUCCCUAGUAUCAUUCUCUUCUCCAAGCUUUCCUGUCUUCUCAUUAUGUGGCCAAAGUACUUCAUCUUUGCCUCUAAUAUCCUUCCCUCCAGUGAGCAGGCAGACAUUAUUUCCUGAAGUAUGGACUGGUUGGAUCUUCUUGCAGUCCAAGGCACUCUCAGAAUUUUCCUCCAACACCACAGUUCAAAAGUGUUUAUUUUCCUUUGCUCAGCCUUCCUUAUGGUCCAGCUCUCACGUCCAUAGGCUACUACAGGGAAUACUAUUGCUUUAACUAUGCGGUCCUUGGUUGCCAGUGUGAUGUUUCUACUCUUCAAUAUUUUAUCCAGGGCAUACAGAAAGAUCAAGAUUGUGUACAUUGGCAUUAUUAUUUUUGGAUAACAACUUCCAGAAUGGAACAUCCACAUUGAAUUACAAGUCCACAUUGCCAGCAAAGUACAAACUAUGGUUCAACCCUGCUGUCAAAUUCCCUGAGCAUUUAACAAUCCACAGGAUGGAGUUAUGACUAUAAAGAAUAAAUUUGCUGAACAUGUGUCAGUUAUAGAGCUUUAAGCAUAUUUAUAAAGGUCUCAAUGGAAAUGAUAGAAUUUUAAUUUACAUUUAAUAAAAGUUUGAUUGUCACA